rnacentral:lncRNA from 10 species
CCAUGUGAAGAAGGUGCUUGUUUCCCCUUUGCCUUCCGCCAUGAGUGUAAGUUUCCUGAGGUCUCCCAGUCAUACUGCUGGUUAAGCCUGCAGAACGGUGUACUUGUUUGAAAUGUAUCUGGCCCAAUCGCUGAGCGUCCGCGCUGCAUUUCUCCAAACUGCCCAGCAGGGGGCGGUGCUACCUCGGCUCCGCGCAGCCACGGCUUCCCGCUGGCGAACCAAGGGCGCGGAAUCUGGAGAGGGCGAGGAACAUCUUUCCUCCCACCUGUCCCCCGCCAAGCCUGCCAGACCCGUCUCAUCCGUGCUGCUGCUUCUGAAAAUCAGAAGAGUGAGGAUGAAAUAAAGUCUUCAUAAAGGAA